UGUAUAAACUGCCUAUAAAACGAUUAAAAUUUGUAAUUUUUCAGUGGCAGAGUCUUGGAAUCGACAUCCAAUUGGCGUACUAGCAGGCAACAAAUAUCAUAUGGGUAUUUAUGACGAAUGUGUCGACGUUAAUUAUCCAGUAAAGGCACAGUAUUGUUUGUCCGAAAUACAUUUGUUUCCGCCAAUGGGGAAAAAUUACAGUUUUCUAAAAGGAACGGAAAACAUUAACAAUGUUGGCGACAAUCACGCGUGGAAAACAAUACUUGGGUGGGUCGAUUCUCCGGAUCUAAUCAAACGAAACAGUUUGAAUUUAGGGAUAUGCAUACCGGAUUCUUGUUCAGCGUCAGAUCUACAGACGUCGUUGCAAAAUGAAUUUGACAAGGUGUUUUUACCGGAGAAGUUCAAAGCUGUCGUCCAAGUAGACCCAAUACUCUGUACUGUGAGUGGAGAUAUGUAUCCUUACGACAUGGCGUAUUUUUUAACCAGUGCAUUCUUCGUACUACUUGUUAUGAUAUGCUGUGGUGUGACCGUUUGUCAUUUCAUAAAACUAUCGCGUCAACAAAAUGAAACCUUAUCAAAUGAUGAAUUCUUCAUUUCAUUUUCAUUUAUCAAGUCUCUCAAAGAAUUGUUAAAAUAUGAUAAAACGAACGAAUUGAAUUUUCUGAAUGGUAUGAAAGUGACAACCAUGAUAUUCAUUUUAUUUGGUCACAGAUCCAUGUAUUUAGCAGGAUAUCCUAUAAGUUAUUCUAAAUAUAUCGAAAAUAUGUACAUAUAUGGACCUGAUAUAUUAUUGACUAGUAUGAAUCUAGUAGAUCCGUUUUUCUACAUUAGUGGUUUUAUCUUGUACAUCACAAUCUCUCCGAUAUUCCUGAAAGCAGGAUCAGUAUGGAUAAAGCUUGCGUCACCGGUUAUCUAUCGAAUAGUAAGAAUGUUACCGGCUUAUUGUGCAAUGAUGGUGAUCACAGCUAAUAUCGUGCCUCAUCUUGGAGACGGGCCACUGUGGCCCCAAAAAACCUGGAGUGAAGCCGAGACAUGUAAAAAGUAUUGGUGGACCAAUCUGCUUUUUAUGAGUAAUUUUGUAGACGCCAAGUAUGAAUGCCUAAUAGUGAGCUGGUACAUAUCGUGUGACCUUCAGUUCUUCAUAGUUGGAGUUAUUUUGGUUUACAUUUACACAAAGAACACUAAAUACGGAAUUGGAUUGCUCUCUACCAUUGUUAUUGCGUCGACAUUUACGCCAUUUAUAAGCACGAUUUUGAAUAAAAAUGAUGGAAUACUUAAAGUACACCUUCGAUUUUUAGAAAACCCCAGAACUUAUACAACGUUUAAUGAGUCUUACAGAGCAAGUCACAUGAGAGCCACACCUUUUUUUGUCGGGGUGGCAAUGAGCUUAGUUGCUAAUAAAUUAAAACAGACAAAAAAAAAAUUAUCUGUGUUUACUGUCUACGGAGGAACGUUAGUUGUAGUUGUGGUCUGUUUGUGGGUACAGUUAUACGGUGCUUUAUUUUAUGUGAGACAUAGACCUUAUUAUCUAUUGGAACAUGCUCUAUAUUCGACAUUCAGCCAUUGGACAUGGACGACAAUAGCUGUGUGGGUCACUAUUUGCUAUUACACAACUGGUUACGAUUUAUGGUACCCAUGGGGAGACUCUCAUACUCCGUUUUCUUAGUGAACCUAAUCGUUAUGAUGAUGUCUCAGAGUUCUCAAAGACUACCUACUUAUCUAUCAGCAAAAUCAUCGUUGGAUGUUUGGAUACACGAUACUUUUAAAACUUAUUUAAUGGGCUUAGCAUUAUACUUAGUCGUAGAAGCACCGUUUGGAGAUUUGACUAGACAAAUGUUCGGGCGAGG
rnacentral:misc_RNA from 1 species